GAGUUUGAUCUUGGCUCAGCCUGAACGCUGGCGGCGUGGCUAAGACAUGCAAGUCGCACGGGGUAGCGAAUACCCAGUGGCGAACGGGAGAGUAAUGAAUCGCUAACGUACCCCGGACUCUAGGGAUAGCCGCCCGAAAGGGCGGGUAAUACCAGUAUAAUACCACCUUGUCGCAUGGCAGGGUGUUCAAAGGUCCGCCGGUCUGGGAGCGGGCGAUUUCGUAUCAGCUAGUUGGUGGGGUAAAGGCUCACCAAGGCGACGACGCGUAGCCGGACUGAGAGGUUGGCCGGCCUCAUUGGGACUGAGACACUGCCCAGACUCCUACGGGGGGCUGCAGUAACGAAUCUUCCGCAAUGCACGAAAGUGUGACGGAGCGACGCCGCGUGUGGGACGAAGUCCUUC
rnacentral:rRNA from 1 species